rnacentral:rRNA from 1 species
UGGGGGAUAUUGCACAAUGGGCGAAAGCCUGAUGCAGCGACGCCGCGUGGGGGAUGAAGGCCUUCGGGUUGUAAACUUCUUUUGCUCUGAACAAGGCAUGCUAAUGGGUGUGUUGAGUGUAGGGGUUGAUUAGCGCCGGCUAACUACGUGCCAGCAGCCGCGGUAAUACGUAGGGCGCGAGCGUUGUCCGGAAUUAUUGGGCGUAAAGGGCUUGUAGGUGGCUGGUUGCGUCUGUCGUGAAAGCUCCUGGCUUAACUGUGGGUUUGCGGUGGGUACGGGCUGGCUUGAGUGCAGUAGGGGAGGCUGGAAUUCCUGGUGUAGCGGUGGAAUGCGCAGAUAUCAGGAGGAAUACCGGUGGCGAAGGCGGGUCUCUGGGCUGUUACUGACACUGAGGAGCGAAAGCAUGGGGAGCGAACAGG